CCUUAUCCUGUCUGCUGAUGUUUUUAUAAAUAAGUUUUAUUGGGACACAGCCACACUCACUCAAUUAUGGAUUGUCUGUGGCUACUUUCCCACUCUAGUGUCAGAGUUGAGUAACUGCCACAGAGACCAUAGAGUUCAAAAGCCUAAAAUCCUUAUUAUCUGACCCUGUAUGGAAAUGUGGGAAAGCUGAUCCCUGUUUUAGGAAGCCAGGAUCGAUCACUGUGUGUUGGUAACGAAAGGUAGACUGGCAUGCCAUGCCAGCUCACGAACUGGGCUAGAAUUUGGAGAAUAGCUCAUUCAUUUAUUGUGCUUAGGAGGCCAUGCUUGGCCUUUCUUUCUUCCAUAGGUACUUAAUCUUUGCUAGCUCUCUUAGAAAUCUAAUCCAUUGGUCACAAGGACACAAAGAAGUGAGUAUGAGUGAAACCGGUCACCUGAAGUCCAUGUCCAACACUGUACACUCAGCAGUGUCCAGUUCACUCUCUGCUACCUGCCUCCCGCCCCUCAGCACAGGUAACAACAGUGAGGAGGCCUCCCCUGGUAGAGGGCUGCAAAGAUGCUGCAUAUCACUUGGGGGCUGUGGGAAUCUUUGCUGAAAUGUUUAAAUUUCACAAGAGGAAAUUUUUAAAAUUCAAGAGUUGAGGUGGCAAUUGGGAAAGGAUCUGAAAUGGUUUGUUUCCACUAGUUCUGACAGUUUCCAAGUCUGACAGCACUUCCCUACCCCUUCCUCUUUGGUUUUAGCCAUUUCAAGUAGGAAAGAGAAAAGAGAAUCAGUAAGAGCUGAUAAAGGAGGGGAAGCAAAAAGGAAGGCAGAACAAGAGAGAUUAUUAUGUUCUGAAAGAUUAAAAUUGUUUCUAUACACGAACGUGGUUGAAUUUGAACCUAAAUAAAGUCCACCCCUGACACAUUUUGGCAACUCUCAAAAUCUGUAAGGUACCAACCUGAGUCAUUGCGUGUGUGCCUGCGUUCUCACUCAGUCAUAACUCUUUGCAGCCCCAUGGACUUAGCCUGCCAGCCUCCUCUGUCCAUGGGAAUACUGGAGUGGGUUGCCAUUUCCUCCUCCAGAGGAUCGUCAGGUCCAGGGAUCGAACCUGCGCCUCCUGCAUUGGCGGCCCACAGAGGCUAAGAAAUUUCCCAGGAGAGAAACGUCCUUAGGGCAGAGUGCUGCAAACGACCUAAGCCUGGUGAAACCACUCACAAUCAGUGCAGAGUGUGGCCACCUGGAGCUGAGCCGUGGAAGCCUUCUGCCCCUUCUCUCGCCCUGGGCCCCCGCUCCUCGCCUUCUGUCCAGCCCCUUGCCCUCCGUCCGGCCCCCAACCACGCACAGCCUCUGAGUUUAAUUUGGAGAUGGUGAGAAUUGGCAGUAAAAUGGCCAAAGUUGCUCUUUGAAAGGCGUCCGAUCCUGGAUGAUAGGAAUGCUGUUUUGGUCAGAGACCCAAAGAUAAGGGCCGGCGCUCCCUCUUUCCUUGGUGGACGCCUGUGGCUUCCGACUUCGUAUUUGAGCACUUCGGAGACUCGAGUGGUAGCGCUCACUUCUCUGUGGCCCCCGGAGGCAGCAGCAAGGCCAUUCCCACAGCUUAGCAGGAGCAAAGGUCAUGACAGAGGGUUUUCCUGGAGAGACUCACGGCAGAGAUACAGCAGUGGACACUCCCAUUUCCUGACGGAAUCUGCAGUGUGCACGCCAGAGGACAGUGGUUAAGAUGUGACACUGAUGGCCGAGGUUGCUGACCUAAAGGAGCUUACACUCUUGCAGCCAAGAGAACCGAUGAGCAUGUAGCUAAAUCCCUAAGUCCACGGGAGCAGUGACUCCACCACGCCAGGUUUCUCUUUCUCUCUAACCCUAGGUCCUUUGGCUUCCAGGGAAAAUGUUCAAAAUACUACUCACCACUGUACAGGCAACAGCUGUUAACUUCUUCCAGGAUCUACUGACCCCAGACGGCUUUGUUAGCACAUUGUGUGUGUCCGGUGCACAGUGAGGCCAUGCAAACUGAAAUGUCAGAGUUUGGAACAGAGAAAGGUUUAUUGUAGGGUCACAGAAAGCAACGGUUGGCUUAUGCCCUAGAAAGUCCUGAGCUCCCCGAAGGGUUUUGGCAAAGCAUUUUUACAAGUCAGAUGGGGCGGUCACAGGAUAUGUGAUCAGCUUGUGCACAAUUCUCUGGUUGGGUGAUGGUGCGUGAACAGGAUGGUAUCACAGGGGUCGGUCCUUGGGCUCCAGGAGGCCUGAGGCUGUGUCUCAGGUCAAGCAGUUACCAUCUUUCAUUUGGUGGGGCGUUUUCACUUCUGCAAGACAACUCAGGAAAUGUGCAUCAAAUGCUGUUAUCUGGGUAUUUCAGAGAGGAGCUGCAGCAGAGGAUGGCCCCGUAGCGUCCUGCUUGGUUACAGCUUCCCCUGGCCCUGGGUCUUGGAGGGACUGGAAAUCUGGUGACCAGUGCUCCUGGGAACCCUGCUUCCUUGUGCUGUGCCCAAGGGCAUGCAGCUUCUACCUACAUACUCAGCGCCAGCUUCCCUGCUAGAUGGUCAGAACCUUUCAGUGAGCUUCUCUCUGUCCAUUUGGGAGUGAGGAGUCAAUCCCAGAGGCACGCUGGGUACUCAACCUCCAUUUCCUUCACUCAAGGCCUCUCCCCUGAAGGCUAACACCAUGGAGCAGACCCAGGUUUUGUGAGAUCUGAAGCUUAUAUAAUUGUGUGUGUGUGCACACAUGCAUCCAUGCACGUGUGUGUGUGUGCCCAUGCAAGCACUUUAAAGAAAAGAAUGCAAAAUUAGGCAUAAUAAUUAGAUAUGAAGGUGUAUAUUUAGAAUGUGAAAGAAGUCAUAGAAAAUUAAAAAAUAAUUAAGCUAACAAACACCAGAAAUGUCACAAAAAUUCAGCAAAACAGUAAUUAUUAACUGCCCAGGGUAUCUCUAUAAUACUUAUCUAUCUGUGACUGCAUAUUCUGGCAACCCACUCCAGUAUUCUUGCCUGGAGAAUCCCAUGGACAGAGGAACCGGGUGGGCUACACUCUACAGGGUCGCACAGAGUUGGACACGACUGAAGUGACUUAGCAUGUACAUACUCUUCGAGCACACCCUCACACAUGAAAGAUUUUCUAGUAUCAUUUUGUGAGAGACAACAGCAGGAUGGUGCUAUGGAUUGAAUGUUUGUGUGCCCUUCUCCCAAAUUCAGAUGUUGAAAUCUAAUCAUCAUGGUCUUGGUAUUUGGAGGUGGGGCUCUUGGGAGGUAACUGGGUCAGGAGCACAGAGCCAUCAACAUUGAGGCAAGACCAGCCACAAGAUGACCAGCAAGAAGAUUACCACUCACUAAAGGCUCAGAUAAUGGUUAGCAUUCUUCAAUAAAGUAUUUUUUAUUAAGA